AUAAUACUCCCUCCGUCCAGAAUUACUUGUCGGGAUGUAUCUAGAUGUAUUUUAGUUCUAGAUACAUUCAUUUCUAUCCAUUUCUACGACGAGUAAUUUGGGACGGAGGGAGUACUAC
rfam:Triticum aestivum genome assembly, contig: Triticum_aestivum_CS42_TGACv1_scaffold_474771_6AL